GUCGCCAUUUUCCUUUAACCGCAAGCGGGGAAUGGAGCCCCGCGACCUCCUGGAAGAAAUUCGCGGCUUUCUACGUUUUAAGGUAGCAAUGGCGCCCCUACACUUAACCAUCCGCUUGAAAUCCGGCAGGGAAUUCUUUGCACCGCUCCUAUGGCCAGAACUCGCGUUCGUGACUCCUAGGAAGAGGAGCAAAUGCGAGAGUUAUAAUUUGAUGGAGUAUUGUCAACAAAAUAUGCCCAUCCUUCAAACCUUCUGAGGGCAUAAGCUAGCGUCAUUUUUAACUUCAUACGUUUAAAAGGGAUAAUUAGAUAUUCAGUUGGCUUGAUUGAACCUAAAACAAUAAUGAAAUUUAAUGCGAGGCCUUGGUGACAAGUCUCUGGAUAGCCAUUAUAGUAGGGACUAAGAAGAGUUUUUAAAUCCUUCGCAGUUAUCAACUCAUUGUAAAUCAAGUAUCUGACACACAAUUGUAAAUCAAGUAUCUGACAUACAAAAUUAGCUUGGUUGA